AUUAAACGCUGGCGGCAUGCCUUACACAUGCAAGUCGAACGGUAGCGCGGGGCAACCUGGCGACGAGUGGCGAACGGGUGAGUAAAGCAUCGGAACGUGCCCUGGAAUGGGGGAUAACGUAGCGAAAGUUACGCUAAUACCGCAUAUUCUGUGAGCAGGAAAGCAGGGGAUCGCAAGACCUUGCGUUCUGGGAGCGGCCGAUGUCGGAUUAGCUAGUUGGUGGGGUAAAAGCCUACCAAGGCGACGAUCCGUAGCGGGUCUGAGAGGAUGAUCCGCCACACUGGGACUGAGACACGGCCCAGACUCCUACGGGAGGCAGCAGUGGGGGAAUUUUGGACAAUGGGCGGAAGCCUGAUCCAGCCAUGCCGCGUGAGUGAAGAAGGCCUUGGUGUAAGCUCUUCGUGGGAGAAUG
rnacentral:rRNA from 1 species